GAUGAACGCUGGCGGCGUGCCUAAUACAUGCAAGUCGAGCGAAUGGAUUGAGAGCUUGCUCUUAUGAAGUUAGCGGCGGACGGGUGAGUAACACGUGAGUAACCUGCCCAUAAGACUGGGAUAACUCCGGGAAACCGGGGCUAAUACCGGAUAACAUUUUGAACCGCAUGGUUCGAAAUUGAAAGGCGGCUUCGGCUGUCACUUAUGGAUGGACCCGCGUCGCAAUAGCUAGUUGGUGAGGUAACGGCUCACCAAGGCAACGAUGCGUAGCCGAACUGGGAGGGUGGUCGGCCCAACUGGGACUGGGGCACGGCCCAGACUCCUACGGGGGGCAGCAGUAGGGAAUCUUCCGCAAUGGACGAAAGUCUGACGGAGCAACGCCGCGUGAGUGAUGAAGGCUUUCGGGUCGUAAAACUCUGUUGUUAGGGAAGAACAAGUGCUAGUUGAAUAAGCUGGCACCUUGACGGUACCUAACCAGAAAGCCACGGCUAACUACGUGCCAGCAGCCGCAGUAA
rnacentral:rRNA from 1 species